rnacentral:rRNA from 1 species
CCGGCCCCCCAACGGCGCUCGCGCAGUUCGGAUCCGCAAGGACCGUUCCGCGUCCGCGUCCGCGUGGGCGUGGUGCACUUUCUCCGCGGUCGAGUGCUACGACCGGUUUCGCGGCGGUCAGAAGCCCGGCGGAAAGGUAGCGCCGCCCCUCGGGGUGUCGUGUUAUAGGCCGCCGCGGUGGACUCGCCGCGAGACCGAGGACGCUUGCCGCGCCGAGCGGUCCCGGGCCGUCUUGGGAGGUUCGACCUCGGCUGCACUGCUCCGCAGAGCACCGUAACCGCCGCCCUAGCACGGGUCCGGAGACUGCCGGCGCCUCGGGUCAGUAGCG